rnacentral:lncRNA from 1 species
GACUGAUUUUUACAAGUUUGUGCCUCAAAAGGAAACCAUGAGAAGAGACACAGAAUGAAAAACAGCAGCAUGAUAGCCCACAGAAUACCUUUUGAAAGCUCCAGAGUGACGGCAGCAGGUUGGAUAUAAUGAACAGUGUUACAAAUGGGGACACGAGACGACAGGUCUGGUGAAGAAGGAGUCUCCUGGAAACUGUACGACUGUAAUUACUGAGUGCUGGUGCUGUCUCAGUUGGCUUCGAACAAAGAUCUCAGACGUGGACUCACUUGGACUUCACAAAUGUGACGGAUUGAGUAAUAAACC